UUGGAAUUAGUUUUUCUCGUUGCAUAAAUUACCUGUCCCCGACUGAUAACACGAUAACGCCAUCGCCGUUCAAAUUUAAAUUUAUUUAAAUAUCAAUUCGCAACCACUAUAUAUACUCUUGUCAAAUAUUCGUGUGGUAUCAUUGGGUUGAAAACAAGAAACCAGUAAAAAUGAAAUCCUUCGCAGUUAUCCUGUUGUGCGUGGCUCUGGCCCAUGUGGCUUUUGCCAAGGUGACCCCUGCCAAAGAGGAAGUCAAAUACCCAGUAGCUGCACCUGUUGUUGCAUCCGAAGCGAUCGCCGCAGCUAACGGUCUUUACAGUCUCGUCAGUUUGUUGUUGACUCCUUCUCUUGGGUGUACAAUGCAUUGGCCGCUGUCCGCGCCACUAUGGUAACCCCACCAAAAUGGGUAACCUGGGCUUGACACUUCGUGGUACCUUGACUGGUUACAACUUGGUCGGCUACCUCCUCAGUAUCCUUGUUUUGGACAUUCCUCUUGUUUCUCUCAUCGAUCUCCUCUACACUGUGACUUGCUCCGGACCUAGCGCUAGCUACGGUAUCCUCGGAAACGUGGUUUACACUCUAACCAUAAGGAUAAACCCAAUCAGUGUUUUGCUCGGGGGUCUUGGAGUCGGCAACAUCAUCCAAGUUGUUUUAGACUACCUCUUCUAUGCUGACUGCUAAUAAAUUUCAUGUUUAUGUCAUGUUGUUACCGAUGACUUAAGUGUUCAAUAAAUUACAACCGAAUAUUAUUUCAAA